AAAUAUUCGUGAGCCUGAUGGAAGUGACGGACGAAGUAAGCUGUUUGGUCUAAUUGGAUUGACUGGGCAGUGAAUUCGUUCCAGGAAAUAGCUCCAUCAUAAGACCGUACCCUAAACCGACACAGGUGGUCAGGUAGAGUAUACCAAGGCGCUUGAGAGAACUAUGCUGAAGGAACUAGACAAAUUGCACGCGUAACUUCGGGAUAAGCGUGGCCAAUGUUUACGCAAGUAGGCAUUGGCGGCACAAAAGAGGGGGUACCAACUGUUUAAUAAAAACACAGGACUAUGCGAACACGUAAGUGGAAGUAUAUGGUCUGACGCCUGCCCAGUGCUGGAAGAUUAAGCGGAGAGGUGCAAGCCUUGAUGUCAAGUCCCAGUGAACGGCGGCCGUAACAAUAACGGUCCUAAGGUAGCGAAAUUCCUUGUCGGGUAAGUUCCGACGCGCAUGAAUGGCGUAAUGAGUUCCCCAUUGUCUCCAGCAUAGACUCAGCGAAAUUGAAUUCUCCGUGAAGAUGCGGAGUUCCUACGGUUAGACGGAAAGACCCUGUGCACCUUUACUAUAGCUUUGCAGUGGUAUUAGGAACAACUUAUGUAGAAUAGGUGGGAGACUUUGAAACCUGGGCGCCAGCUUGGGUGGAGUCACCAGUGAAAUACCACCUUUUUUGUUUCUGAUAUCUAACCGCGAUAACUGAAUCGUUAUCCGGGACCCUGCAUGGUGGGUAGUUUGACUGGGGCGGUCGCCUCCCAAAGAGUAACGGAGGCGCGCGAUGGUAGGCUCAAGGCGGUCGGAAAUCGCCUGAUGAGUGUAAUGGCACAAGCCUGCCUGACUGCGAGAGUGACAAUUCAAGCAGAGACGAAAGUCGGUCAUAGUGAUCCGGUGGUUCCUAGUGGUAGGGCCAUCGCUCAACGGAUAAAAGGUACGCCGGGGAUAACAGGCUGAUGAUGCCCAAGAGUCCAUAUCGACGGCAUCGUUUGGCACCUCGAUGUCGGCUCAUCACAUCCUGGGGCUGGAGAAGGUCCCAAGGGUACGGCUGUUCGCCGUUUAAAGUGGUACGUGAGCUGGGUUUAGAACGUCGUGAGACAGUUCGGUCCCUAUCUGCCGUAGGUGUAAGGAAAAUUGAGAGGAUCUGCCCUUAGUACGAGAGGACCGGGGUGGACGUAUCCAUGGUGUACCAGUUGUUCCGCCAGGAGCACGGCUGGGUAGCUAAAUACGGACGGGAUAACCGCUGAAUGCAUCUAAGCGGGAAGCCCACCUCAAAACUAGUUUUCCCCAUUAGGAUGGUUGUAGACUACGACCUUGAUAGGCUGGAUGUGGAAGUACCGCAAGGUAUGGAGCUAACCAGUACUAAUAAUCCGAUUGA
rnacentral:rRNA from 1 species